rnacentral:rRNA from 1 species
GGUUAAGCGACUAAGCGUACACGGUGGAUGCCCUGGCAGUCAGAGGCGAUGAAGGACGUGCUAAUCUGCGAUAAGCGUCGGUAAGGUGAUAUGAACCGUUAUAACCGGCGAUUUCCGAAUGGGGAAACCCAGUGUGUUUCGACACACUAUCAUUAACUGAAUCCAUAGGUUAAUGAGGCGAACCGGGGGAACUGAAACAUCUAAGUACCCCGAGGAAAAGAAAUCAACCGAGAUUCCCCCAGUAGCGGCGAGCGAACGGGGAGCAGCCCAGAGCCUGAAUCAGUGUGUGUGUUAGUGGAAGCGUCUGGAAAGGCGCGCGAUACAGGGUGACAGCCCCGUACACAAAAAUGCACAUGCUGUGAGCUCGAUGAGUAGGGCGGGACACGUGGUAUCCUGUCUGAAUAUGGGGGGACCAUCCUCCAAGGCUAAAUACUCCUGACUGACCGAUAGUGAACCAGUACCGUGAGGGAAAGGCGAAAAGAACCCCGGCGAGGGGAGUGAAAAAGAACCUGAAACCGUGUACGUACAAGCAGUGGGAGCACGCUUAGGCGUGUGACUGCGUACCUUUUGUAUAAUGGGUCAGCGACUUAUAUUCUGUAGCAAGGUUAACCGAAUAGGGGAGCCGAAGGGAAACCGAGUCUUAACUGGGCGUUAAGUUGCAGGGUAUAGACCCGAAACCCGGUGAUCUAGCCAUGGGCAGGUUGAAGGUUGGGUAACACUAACUGGAGGACCGAACCGACUAAUGUUGAAAAAUUAGCGGAUGACUUGUGGCUGGGGGUGAAAGGCCAAUCAAACCGGGAGAUAGCUGGUUCUCCCCGAAAGCUAUUUAGGUAGCGCCUCGUGAAUUCAUCUCCGGGGGUAGAGCACUGUUUCGGCAAGGGGGUCAUCCCGACUUACCAACCCGAUGCAAACUGCGAAUACCGGAGAAUGUUAUCACGGGAGACACACGGCGGGUGCUAACGUCCGUCGUGAAGAGGGAAACAACCCAGACCGCCAGCUAAGGUCCCAAAGUCAUGGUUAAGUGGGAAACGAUGUGGGAAGGCCCAGACAGCCAGGAUGUUGGCUUAGAAGCAGCCAUCAUUUAAAGAAAGCGUAAUAGCUCACUGGUCGAGUCGGCCUGCGCGGAAGAUGUAACGGGGCUAAACCAUGCACCGAAGCUGCGGCAGCGACGCUGAUGCGUUGUUGGGUAGGGGAGCGUUCUGUAAGCCUGUGAAGGUGUGCUGUGAGGCAUGCUGGAGGUAUCAGAAGUGCGAAUGCUGACAUAAGUAACGAUAAAGCGGGUGAAAAGCCCGCUCGCCGGAAGACCAAGGGUUCCUGUCCAACGUUAAUCGGGGCAGGGUGAGUCGACCCCUAAGGCGAGGCCGAAAGGCGUAGUCGAUGGGAAACAGGUUAAUAUUCCUGUACUUGGUGUUACUGCGAAGGGGGGACGGAGAAGGCUAUGUUGGCCGGGCGACGGUUGUCCCGGUUUAAGCGUGUAGGCUGGUUUUCCAGGCAAAUCCGGAAAAUCAAGGCUGAGGCGUGAUGACGAGGCACUACGGUGCUGAAGCAACAAAUGCCCUGCUUCCAGGAAAAGCCUCUAAGCAUCAGGUAACAUCAAAUCGUACCCCAAACCGACACAGGUGGUCAGGUAGAGAAUACCAAGGCGCUUGAGAGAACUCGGGUGAAGGAACUAGGCAAAAUGGUGCCGUAACUUCGGGAGAAGGCACGCUGAUAUGUAGGUGAAGUCCCUCGCGGAUGGAGCUGAAAUCAGUCGAAGAUACCAGCUGGCUGCAACUGUUUAUUAAAAACACAGCACUGUGCAAACACGAAAGUGGACGUAUACGGUGUGACGCCUGCCCGGUGCCGGAAGGUUAAUUGAUGGGGUCAGCGCAAGCGAAGCUCUUGAUCGAAGCCCCGGUAAACGGCGGCCGUAACUAUAACGGUCCUAAGGUAGCGAAAUUCCUUGUCGGGUAAGUUCCGACCUGCACGAAUGGCGUAAUGAUGGCCAGGCUGUCUCCACCCGAGACUCAGUGAAAUUGAACUCGCUGUGAAGAUGCAGUGUACCCGCGGCAAGACGGAAAGACCCCGUGAACCUUUACUAUAGCUUGACACUGAACAUUGAGCCUUGAUGUGUAGGAUAGGUGGGAGGCUUUGAAGUGUGGACGCCAGUCUGCAUGGAGCCGACCUUGAAAUACCACCCUUUAAUGUUUGAUGUUCUAACGUUGACCCGUAAUCCGGGUUGCGGACAGUGUCUGGUGGGUAGUUUGACUGGGGCGGUCUCCUCCUAAAGAGUAACGGAGGAGCACGAAGGUUGGCUAAUCCUGGUCGGACAUCAGGAGGUUAGUGCAAUGGCAUAAGCCAGCUUGACUGCGAGCGUGACGGCGCGAGCAGGUGCGAAAGCAGGUCAUAGUGAUCCGGUGGUUCUGAAUGGAAGGGCCAUCGCUCAACGGAUAAAAGGUACUCCGGGGAUAACAGGCUGAUACCGCCCAAGAGUUCAUAUCGACGGCGGUGUUUGGCACCUCGAUGUCGGCUCAUCACAUCCUGGGGCUGAAGUAGGUCCCAAGGGUAUGGCUGUUCGCCAUUUAAAGUGGUACGCGAGCUGGGUUUAGAACGUCGUGAGACAGUUCGGUCCCUAUCUGCCGUGGGCGCUGGAGAACUGAGGGGGGCUGCUCCUAGUACGAGAGGACCGGAGUGGACGCAUCACUGGUGUUCGGGUUGUCAUGCCAAUGGCACUGCCCGGUAGCUAAAUGCGGAAGAGAUAAGUGCUGAAAGCAUCUAAGCACGAAACUUGCCCCGAGAUGAGUUCUCCCUGACUCCUUGAGAGUCCUGAAGGAACGUUGAAGACGACGACGUUGAUAGGCCGGGUGUGUAAGCGCAGCGAUGCGUUGAGCUAACCGGUACUAAUGAACCGUGAGGCUUAACCUU